AUUGAACGCUGGCGGCAGGCCUAACACAUGCAAGUCGAACGAGUGGCGGACGGGUGAGUAAUGUCUGGGAAACUGCCCGAUGGAGGGGGAUAAAUACUGGAAACGGUAGCUAAUACCGCAUACCAUCGGAUGUGCCCAGAGUGGAUUAGCUAUUAGGUGGGGUAACGGCGCACCUAGGCGACGAUCCCUAGCUGGUCGGAGAGGAUGACCAGCCACACUGGAACGGAGACACGGUCCAGACUCCUACGGGAGGCAGCAGUGGGGAAUAUUGCACAAUGGGCGCAAGCCUGAUGCAGCCAUGCCGCGUGUAUGAAGAAGGCCUUCGGGUUGUAAAGUACUUUCAGCGAGGAGGCGUUACUCGCAGAAGAAGCACCGGCUAACUCCGUGCCAGCAGCCGCGGUAAUUC
rnacentral:rRNA from 1 species